rnacentral:tRNA from 1 species
GAGGAUAUAGCUCAAGUGGUAAAGCCCAUGCUUAGCAUGCUUAUAGCAUGUGAGGUCCUGGGUUCAAUUCCCAGUACCUCCU